CUUUGUUCUAAGUCUGGCGGGUGCCUCCUGGGCUGCCUCUGCCUGCCCCACCUUCCCCUCCAGCCCCUAGCCUCAGCCUGCGUGCACCAGCAGAUUCUGGCUCCCUAAUUGUAAGUCACCAUAGUGGUUUAUCAACCCCUACUGCGGUUGACACCAUCAGUCAUCUGGACAGUGUGGAUCUACUUUAGAACUCGGCUCAGGGUGCUUGAACGACACAGAUCCCAGGACGCUGAGUUAGUAACCAGAUCCAUAGCAAAAGCUCUGAACAGAGACACUCGGUUUCCACGAAGGUUAGCCUGAAAUACCUGGUAGGCCAGACCUUCAAGACAUCAAAUCCACUCUCUGGUGAAGAGAGGGAGCCGGGGUUCCUUGGGAGGUGGGAUGCACUCUUCAUCGGUCACCACAAAACAAACAUCUUGAGGAAUUCAGUCGUUUCUAAGAGAAGAAAGAAAAAAGAAAAGAAACAGGGUGGAUCUCAUGGAAGCUGCACUGUGACACUAUGGUUCAAAGCCCAUGAUUUGAGAAGCAGACAGGCUGCACUCAGCAUCUUUUACCAAUCAUACCUGAGAUGGAGGAUUUACCUGGUAUAAUCAUUCUGUCUGGUUACGGUGCAGACAGCACCAGAAAGGUACAGGAGAAGAGUAAGUGGGGCUAUAUGCCCAGAGUGUUGACUACUGGAAACUGAGACGUGUUUUCUGCCAGCGUGUGAUGGAAAGACUUCAGUCCCCUGAGUAACUACUCCAAGACCUCCCUUCCCCUUCCAGCUGACUGCAGUGGAGUAUGACAUGAAUAAAAAAUGAAGCUUGCUGUUACUCUACAUUGAUGUUUGGGGUGUGCAAUUGGUCAUAACAGAAAGCUGUUCUCGGUACUUCUUCCCUCCUUCGGCGCCACUCUUUUGCCCCAUCUCGGUCUUAUUUCUAUGUCCUUCCUUUUAUUUUCUUG
rnacentral:lncRNA from 1 species